rfam:Cavia porcellus supercont2_5 genomic scaffold, whole genome shotgun sequence.
GGGCAUUUAGCUCAGUGGCAUAAGCGUCUGUCUUGAAAGCAGGCAGUCAUGAGUUCGAUCUCGAUCCCCG